CACAAGGCUAUGUUGAAAAGUACCUGGCUUUGGGUAAAAGAAAAUACAGGAGGAUUAAUUAAUUAUGAUUUUAUUCAACAUAUUCCCCUCUCAGAGUCACACUCUUAUUACAGUGGUCCUUGAGUUUAUCUAAGCCUUGUAAAAGAACUCAGAAGGUUGGGCUUCCAACCAGGCCUUUUUGCAAUGCCCUUAAGGCCAAGAAUUUUGCAGUACCCACCCCCCUUUAUAUAUAUAUAU